rnacentral:rRNA from 1 species
GACAGAGGGUGCAAACGUUGUUCGGAAUUACUGGGCGUAAAGCGAGUGUAGGCGGUUUGGAAAGUCGGAUGUGAAAGCCCCAGGCUCAACCUGGGAAGUGCAUUCGAUACUCCCAAGCUAGAGUACUGGAGAGGUUGGUGGAAUUCUCGGUGUAGAGGUGAAAUUCGUAGAUAUCGAGAGGAACACCGGUGGCGAAGGCGGCCAACUGGACAGAUACUGACGCUGAGACUCGAAAGCGUGGGGAGCAAACAGG